rnacentral:rRNA from 1 species
CCUACGGGAGACAGCAGUGAGGAAUAUUGGUCAAUGGACGAGAGUCUGAACCAGCCAAGUAGCGUGAAGGAUGACUGCCCUAUGGGUUGUAAACUUCUUUUAUAAAGGAAUCACACGAGGCACGUGUGCCUUUUUGCAUGUACUUUAUGAAUAAGGAUCGGCUAACUCCGUGCCAGCAGCCGCGGUAAUACGGAGGAUCCGAGCGUUAUCCGGAUUUAUUGGGUUUAACGGGAGCGUAGAUGGGUUGUUAAGUCAGUUGUGAAAGUUUGCGGCUCAACCGUAAAAUUGCAAUUGAUACUGGCAGUCGUGAGUACAGUUGAGGUAGGCGGAAUUCGUGGUGUAGCGGUGAAAUGCUUAGAUAUCACGAAGAACCCCGAUUGCGAAGGCAGCUUACUAAACUGUGACUGACAUUGAUGCUCGAAAGUGUGGGUAUCAAACAGGAUUAGAUACCCCUGUAGUC